UAUGCUUCAGCCUGUCGAGGUUCUCCGCGUCCGCUUUGCGGGCAAGGAGCUAAGACGGGAAGCCGGUGCAAAACCGGCGCUGCCCCCGCAACUGUAAGCGGUGAGCGGCGGUCGCUACGUGUCACUGGUCCGGCAAGGGACCGGGAAGGCCAGACCGCCGCGGCGAUCCGCGAGCCAGGAGACCUGCCUCGUCAGAUACGUCCUC
rnacentral:ncRNA from 1 species